rnacentral:sRNA from 1 species
CGCCCUUCACCACCUCAUCCACGAACACUCACGUACGGCAGGAGCGGGGGACCCAGGUAGUACGCCGCGCCGGACACGUCUCCGGAGCGGCUCGGGGUGAAGCCGCGCCACCGCCCCCGGUGGCCGGCCGGGCACCUCCCCGCCCGAACCCGACAGCUCACCUCGCAGGCGCCGGAGAGGAACA